ensembl:lncRNA
GCAAGAGAGAGAGAGACACCAUUUGGAAACAUGGAUAAUGUAAACUCAGGUCGAGUAGUAACCAUCCUAAUUCACAAUGGCCUGGGUGUGGCAGUUAACAGUAAUUCCAAUCUGCUCUUGACCUGGGUCAACCGCCAGGAGUCGCAGCAGUCUAGAACAUAGCAGACUCUAGAGUCCUUUUUAGUUCCUGCCCAGCUUAAGUAAGAAUGGCCUUCACAUGACAGUGAGGUUGAUAAGAGCGUCUCUCUCUGCUCCCGCCCACUGCGGUGCCACUGUUGGGCUUACUGUAUUGUCUUCUUUUAGGGCUCCUGUGUCUGAUGAUAUUAAUUUUGAUACAUUUGAACUGAAAAAGGAUGCGCUGGCAGCAGAUGGGUUUGUGUGGAAGCUGUGGUACCACUAUGAUCCUAGCCCUCGAGCCUGGAUUGAUCUGGGUGAUGCCUCUGUUCCGAUGACACAGGCAUGCGGAGGGAAGCUAAUCAGAAUGAAUUGUGUAGGGCUCGUCUGUCUUCGAUGAUUGCUAUGGAGGUGGAGUGGAGAAGCAGAGAAGGGAUAAGAAAAACAUAUAACAGUGAUAACAACAUUAAAAAAAUCCCUAAAGGCCUUACCCCAGAUUAAAAAUCAUAGACAUUUGGCAUUAUCUGGAUUUUCAGACAUAUAAAACAAAGAUAUUUAGCACUUUAGAAAGUGCUUGAGACUUCUAGCAUUAUUGAGCCAUGAUGAACGAUGACAUUGCACCAUCAUUUGUGAAGGGCGGUCACCGCACAGUGAACGUUUCCUCAGGAUAAGAAGAGGCUAGGUAGAAUUCUGAAGAGCACUGUGGGGCUUCCCAGCCCUCUUCCCUGUUUCUUGGAGAGAGAUUGGUAACUCUCUUGCCGUGUAUUCCGCAGGAGUCCUUCCUUUGUAGGCAUCGUGGCCACCAACAGGAUCUUCUUGGAAGAGAUCGGGGCUCUGGAUGGUGGGAUGCUGCUCUGUGGAGGUCAGAAUGUGGGACUUGGCCUGAGGGGUGAGUACUUUCCAUCCUCUUUGUGGGUCAAAGCAGAGGGAGACGUAACGAAAGCCCUAAGAAUUUGGGAAUCCUACAGCUAACUCAGCUGAGCGUUUUGCUCAAGAGAUGGACAGAUGAGCACAUUUUCAGUCCCUAGGGUGAAAAGCAAGUCGUAGGCAACAGGACUCUGGAGCGGAACUCUCUGGUACAGGCCUGAAUCAGGAGAGCUUUGGUGGGCAGUGGUAGAACUGAGGCUGGGGAAUGUUUCUUUCUCUCCAGAGGAUUCCAGGCAUUUCUAGUGAAUUUUCUGGCGUACACCAUCCGUGGGGAAGGCAAGACUUGACGGACAAGCACCCUGCCACUGAGUGAUGGAGCCCGACAUUGAGGUGAAAGCCGUUACCUCAGAGAGGGCAGCUGACCUUCCUCCUCAGCUGACGUCCCACCAGCAACGCUCCUCUCUCAUGCCAUCUCAGAAGCCCUCCUUCAGACUCAAUGUCCCUCCCUUCUUCCGGUGUGUCUUUCUACCCAUCCUCCUGACUCCCCCUUACUCUCUAUGGUUUUUUUCUUAAUAAUCCUAGGUUCACCUCUUGACCUCUGGUUGGCUUCAUUUAAUUCUGUUUAUGAUAAGCAGAAACUCCUGGAUUAAACGUGUGUGCUAAGUCUGAGCCACACAUCUGAAC